rnacentral:rRNA from 1 species
GCCUGCCCAGUGACUCUUUAAACGGCCGCGGUAUCCUAACCGUGCAAAGGUCGCAUAAUCACUUGUCCCUUAAAUCGGGACUAGAAUGAACGGCUAAAUGAGGACUAAACUGUCUCUUACAGGCUAGCCAAUGAAAUUGAUUUUCCAGUACAAAAGCUGGAAUACAACCACAAGACGAGAAGACCCUGUGGAGCUUAAAACCAAAUUCACCAAACAUGUCUCAUUGGUUUUCAGUUGGGGCGACUUCGGAGUACAAAAUAACCUCCAAACAUAAAACUAAUUAAGAACAACACAUCAAAAUAUGUUUAUAAUGACCCAGCAACCCUGUAGUUGUCUGAUUAAUGAACCAAGUUACCCCAGGGAUAACAGCGCCAUCCCCUUCUAGAGUCCCUAUCGACAAGGGGGUUUACGACCUCGAUGUUGGAUCAGGACACCCCAAUGGUGCAGCCGCCAUUAACGGUUCGUUUGUUCAACGAUUAAAGUCCAACGUGAU